rnacentral:misc_RNA from 1 species
GCAGUUGAAGAAUCGAAUCGAUUCCUCUGGGUUCCAGUUCAGAUCUAGCUCCAAUUUCCAGAACAAGAAAUCGAUCGUAACAACCAACAGCAACAAGAAAAUUUUGGGGAAUAAACGACCGUUUCCAGCAGCAAAUUUUGGAUUUGGGGCCAAAGAUAUGAAGCGAUCGAAUCAACCCGAGCACGGCCUGUUGAUGAAGAAAUGUGCCCAGAUUUUGAC